GUCUUUGUCUAACCUUUCAUAUACCUUACAUACAUUGGUAUCGUGGUGUAUACAGAUUUCAUCCUUAUUUAUCGAAUGUUAAACGAGGAUAGAAUGAUAUCUGGAUGCACGAUGCACGUAGGCGAUGUUUCUGAAGGUGGUCCUGGUGAGACGGAACAAAUCAGAGAGAAAUCUGGAAUAGAUUCAACAGAUUGUUUCAUGACAACCUCACACUAAUCAGGGUAGACAGCAUAUCCUCGGCAGUGCCGUAAAGUAGGGCCCGUUCGCCACCAUGAAACGCAUUUCUCGGCACCUCCAUCAUGUCUCGCUUGUGUAAUCUACGUUUGAUGAACGCCGCAAUGAAGUCAGCCAUCAUCAUACCUGCCUGUCGACUCUUCAGCUUCCUGUCGAAGCUCGGUGGCAGUGCGCCAUAUGGAUUCUCAUUGUCGCGUUUAACAUUUUGAAAAUAAUUCACCAAACAAAAGUGUUCUUGUUUUGUGUGUGCGUAAACGGGUUCACUUACUCGUGAAGGGUAGACUAAUAGUCAUGUUGCUGAGGAAACCGUAAGGUGGAUGUCGGACAAAGGGCAACGCCAAUGUCGGCGUGAUCGUCAUGAUGGUGCCAGGAGGCAGCGCGAUUCGUCCGUCAUUUGUGAACCAGAAGACCCUUUUUUGCCUGUGAUGUGAGGGUUCAUCCUCGCGAACGGUACUAUCAGCAUCGCCGGACGUGGACGUAUUUUUCAACACGGCUAAACCGAGCAGCAGCAGAAGCCAUCUUCUUUGCGACAUCCUGCGCUGUCCGAAUUGCUGUAAUGAGACACCCAUUAGGACCUUUUAAGUAACAAAUACAGUCUUACAAAUAUAAAACAGUGUACACGGACAGUUGUCGCAUAGAUUUAUAAGCUCCGAGUAAUUGGGAUUUUUUUGGGCUCUCUCUCUCUCUCUCUCUCUCUCUCUCUCUCUCUCUCUUUCAAGUUCAUUGCUUGCGCAGAAUCUCUUGUACAGAAAAAAACAGAAUUAAACAUCAAAUUAAAAUUAAUAUAUUUUAUUUAACAAUGUUUCAUAUAAAAGCAAAAAAUUAUAUUCACACACACUAUAAUUUUUACAUUCGUUUUUAAAUGUAUGAAACAAUGGUAAUCUUGUUUAUAUAUAAUUUAAUCUAUAAAGAAUUUUAUCUUUUUUUUCCGUACUGAGAGAUGAAGAGAUUCGUUGUCGAAGGAAGAGGCUAGUGAGUAAACAGGCGGCAGCGAAUGGAAAUCAUAGAUUAGAUUAAUCGUUUUAUUUGCGAAUGAAACGCGCGGACCGGCGUAUAAUAAUUCUCGCCUUCUGAUGGCCCGCCGGUGCUUCAAGUAGACCGCGCGACGGACCCCGCGAAAUUAUUUGCGAUAAAUCCCGCGACGAUGCGUGCGUAUACGAUGUAUCGCAGUCACGAGACUUACGGUACUCACGGUAUCGAGGAAAAACUUUUCUACGAUGGAUUUUGUCGUCUUCGUCAGCGACUCGUAUCCUGUUCACGCAAGAACGGACGGCACACGCGAGAAAAUUUUCCCCUGAUUGAUAUUCGGGACUGGUAGUGCAGCUCGCGCUGUCCAAUUCGAUCAAUUAGAAACUUAAUUUGUGGGUAAGGAGGAUAGAGCGUCUCUCAGGGGGAUAACUGUCGCGCGAUAAGUUAAAUUGUUCAUUUAUCACGUCGCUGAAAAUUCGCAUCUGAGAAUUAUUCUGAGAGAUGUCGAGACGUCGUACAAUGAGAUAAGACUCUCGUUUGAGACAAAAAUCUCUGGAUGGUCUAAUAUUUAAUCAAUUUCAGUGAGUUUUUAAUUUUCUUGUCGUAAAUCUUCCUUCAUUAUAAACUUGAAAAAUUUUUAACAUAAGAUAAAAAUUCAACUAAUACAAUGUAUUUGACAAAAAAUAAAAAUAGAAAUAAAAUAAAAUUCUGCAAUAUUGAAUGCAUUUGAAUAUAUUGAAUAUAAUUGUAUGAAAACAAAUACAUGUAUAAAAAUGAAAAAGACAAAAAUCUUUUUUAAUGAUAUCUUGAUGAGGUAAAAGAGCUCAGUAUUGCAUUAUCAUAAUAUAUAUAAAAGGAUCAAACUAUGUAAUAAAAUUCAGUCGUACUGUUAAAAAUUAAAUAAAUGUUUACAUAAAUUAAACUAUUAAAUAUUAAAAGUUACGAGGCUUGAGCUUCUAUUAUUAUGAUAUUUUAACUUGGAAAAUCAAAUAUUUUUAUCUUUUUACAGAAAUGUUGAAAAAAAGAUUUAAAGAGAUAUUUUAAGUCUACAUGUGCUUGUUUUGAUGCAAAUAUAUUUAAUCCUUAACUACAUUGGCGGAGUAUAAACAUAUACUCCAUACAAUUAUGCAAAUAUUUCUCGCGUGGCGGAAUUGUAAUCUAAGAUUACUGUUAUAUGCAAGAAAAAUAUUCUAAAAUUAACGCUGUCGAAAAUAUUUUUGUUACUUAAGGUACUACAAAUUUUAUUUUUUAUUAUAUUUAUAAUGAUUAUCUUUCAGCUUCAGAAUGUUUAAACCAGACAAAAAAAAAUAUCUAUAUUAUGAAUUUUAUUUCAUUAAAAUUCAUGUAAAAUUUGGAGUACAAAACUACUUCGCAAAUGUAAUUAUUUUGGAGUGUAGUUGAGAGUUAAUAUGACAGAACUUUAAUAUUUUUGACAAGUACAUUAUAUAUAAUAAUUAUCAUUGCGUGAUUAUUUUGAAUUUUAGCCUUAUUUUAAAAAAUUUGUCUACAAUAGGUCUAUGAGGAAGGCAAAUGAGAAAAUAAAAUGAUAAAUGAUCAAAAUUUAAAUAUUAGACAGUUCAAGAAUUUUUCUUCAAAAUCAGUGUUGCUUCUAUUACCAUAAGAGAAAAGUAAAAAAAACAUGAGUAAAAUAAUAUUGCACUAUAUUACUAAUUAAUGUUUAGCAAUAAAAUGAAUCAAAACACAUAAGUCAUAAAAUACCUAUGAAUUGUAUAAAACAUAAAUCAUACUGCAAAUAAAGAUUUAAAAAAAUAA